AAGUUUCAACAACGGAUCUCUUGGCUCUCGCAUCGAUGAAGGACGCAGCGAAAUGCGAUAAGUAAUGUGAAUUGCAGAAUUCAGUGAAUCAUCGAAUCUUUGAACGCACCUUGCGCUCCUUGGUAUUCCUUGGAGCAUGCCUGUUUGAGUAUCAU
rnacentral:rRNA from 1 species